UAAAUGUUUUCCUUUAUAAGAGUUGCCAUGGUCAUGGUGUCUCUUCACAACAAUAGAAACUCUAAGAUAGUAUUGUUGGCUAUUUUUAGCCAGGCUCAUUAUAAGAAUUGGGAGCAAAAGACCAGAAUGAAAGAACUUGAAGAGACUUGCAGUUUGACCAGAAAGGGGGCAUGUUAAAUAAUUCAGAAGAAAAAAAAAUACUGUGAUAAAAAGAUUAGUGCCACUAUGAAGAAGGACUUUGCCCUGGGCCAACAGCAAAGCUGCCUCAGGGACACUUUAGAGCCAGGAAGAUCCCUUCUGUAUCAGUCACCGUUCUGCUGCUCUGAUGGGCACCAUGACCAGAAGCAACCGAGGAAGAAAGAGUUGAUUCAGGUUUACAGUUCCAGCAUGCUGGAGGCCAUAAUAGCCAUGGAGAUGGCAUGGCAGCUGAAGGGUGAAGCUGGCUGACUGCGGUUUUCAUUCACAUACAAGAAGCAAAGAGAGCAAGCAGGAAAUGGGGCCAGGCAAGAAGACCUCAAAGGCCACACCUAGUGACGUACUUCCUCAGGCAAGACUGCAUCUCCUAAAGAUUCCAGAAUCUCCCCAAACUACAGCCUGGGGAUGGAGUGUUCAAAUACAUGAUCCUAUGGGGGACACUACUCAUUCAAACCAGAACACCACCCUUCUCAAGCUCCAGGGCAUAAAAUUAUACAUGUAAAAGACUUUUUCUUAAGAAGAGGGUACCUCAGGGCACCCUGCUUGCACAAUGCAACCUAGGAACUUGUUUCCCCAGGAUCCAUUUCUUCAUCACGACCAGCCCUCCAGGCACUCAGGGGUCUAUGCAGAGAGGAAACAUUACUGCUCCGCCUGGCAUCAGAUCUUGGCAUCACCCAAGCAGUGUUUAUUUUGCAGGGCAUGGAGGAUGUAAGAGCUGUGGGGUCCCAGAAACUUCCACUUAGAUGUCAGAGGAAAACCUGGGGAUGCAGGCAGUGUGUGGCAGGAUCAGAUUCUCAGGUGAUAUCAGAGGAAAGCCUGGGGAUGCAGGCAGUGUGUGGCAGGAUCAGAUUCUCAGGUGAUGGAGAAAGUUAAGAAAGUGAAGCUCAAGAUCUGGUGGAGACUUUAGGGUACCAGAUUGGUCAGCAAUGAGGAACAUGUCCCCAUUGUCCUGGUUGCUAUGGGAUUUAACACUUGUCCUGAUGGGUUGUGGUCUUACUUUGGUCCCAUCAACUCCUUUCUGUAUUCCCAUUUCUUCUUUUUAGAAUGGGAAUGUGGCAUUGUGGGUGGCUCAGUGGAUAAAGUGUUUGCCAUGCGAGUGUGAGGGCUGGAGUUUGUAACGCAGGAGGCAGAGACAUAGCACCCCUGAGGCAAGUGGGCUAGGCUAGCUGGACUAGUUAGUUAAUGAGCUCUGGGUUCAGCAAGGGGCUGUGCCUCCACAGACAGAAUGGAAAGUAUGGAGGAAGACACUUGACAUCAAGUUUGGAUCUCCACAAGCACAUGUAUACAUGUGCCUACACGUGGACAUGAAUUCAUAUACACAUGCAUGCACACCACACAAUAUGUACCUAAAAACAAUGCAAAAGAUGGGGCUGUUUAACCCUCUGCCAAAGCAUGUUAAAAGUAUGGGACCUGAGUUUUUAGUUUUUCAGGUCUCAAAGCUAAGAGUUUGCCUUGACUUUCAGAGACUUUGAAAUUCAACUUUUAUUGUUAUUAUUGCUCUUAUUAUCAUUACAUUUCUUUUCUGAGACAGGUUUUUUUUCAGGCUGUCCAGGAACUGGUUCUGUGGACCUGGCUGGGAUUAAAAGUGUGUGCCACUGUUGCCUGGAGUGAAAUUAGACUUUUGAGAGCAAUAUUGAAUCUAUUGGGACUUUAGGGAGGGAUUGAGUGCGUUUUGCAUUAUGAGGUGAGCAUCAGCCUUUGGAAGGUCAAGAGUGGAAUGUUAUGAGAUGGGUAUGGCCCUCAAAAGGAGUCUGAAAAUGAAUUAAAAUAAGUCUUGUCCCUUUUAAAAUUUUUGUCUUGGGUAUUUGUCAGUGAUGAGAGAAUCUAACAUAGCAACACAUAAAAUUCUUAUCACAGAGCCUGACAAAAAUAGCUACAGCUUGCCUGUUUCUCGUAUCCAUGAAAUCCAUGAGCAUUUUUUCGUUUGUCUAUUUGUUUGGUUUUUGGUUUGUUUUUCUUUCUUUUUUGUAGUGCUGAGGGUCUAAUUCGUUUGAAUGUCCUAGCGCAGCACCCAGCCACUGAGCUACACCCUGGCAUCUAGGUGAAAUCCACAUCUGGAAAGGGCACACAACGUUCGGAGCCUGGACGUCACUAAGCAGGGCUCCUGGCCGGUGAAAGGCCACUCACCACUUACUCUCACUUCCCGUUCCCAGGCCCUGCUCCUGGUUCCUCUGUUUCCAUCUGCCCUUGAGCAGUGCCUGGGCAGGUGAGGUUUUUAUCACCAGUGCCCUCAGCUCUACAAAUGUAGAGACCUGACAGACGAGAGCUGCUCAGACCUUCCAUUACAGUGUCCCCGGCCCUUCAACUACAUGUCACCCUUAUUUCUAACAGAAAAAUCGAAUCGAAUCGUACCAUGCUGGGGUCCUUGUGCUUUAAAAUGCCAACAGGAGGUGAGCACAGUAGGGACUCCUGGCGAACUCCAACUUCUUCCUCCUGCCCUGCUGUUUGCGAUGGGAGCUGGAAAGCAAUUCAUCACAGUAAUGAUCGCUGAUGCUGAUACUCCGGUGACUGAUGGCCACGUUACCUGGAGUAUGUCUUCCCAGCUCUCUCUUCACUGAAGAGUAAUUGUGGAGGGUUGGUGGAGGUGGGGGAGGCUAAAGGCUGAGGCAGGGAGAAUUGCAGCUCAGCUUCUUCCCAGCCCUCAGGCAGGAGAGGCCGAAGGGACAGAAACUAAUGGCCGAGAUGGCUCACAGAGAAAACAGCAAAUCCAACCGUGUAGAAGGGCAUUUCAUCUCUGCCUUCCUAAUGGCCUCCAACAUGCUCGCUCGAGAAAAAUUCAUCUCUGUAGAAUCUGGAAUUGUGGAUCAAUGCCAAGUGAGGACUGCAAAAGUAGCCGAGCAGGAAGAAGCUGUUCAUGUCCACUUCAUGGGCAGCCCAAAGGGAAGGACACAGAACUGCAGCAUGGUAGAUUAAGGAAGGCUGAAGGGAGACAUCACUCCACCCAACAAAAGUAGUUCAGGACCACCUGCCCAGGGUGGCGCCACCGACAGUGGGAUGGGUCCUCCCAUGUUAAUCAGCUAUCAAGAAAACGCCCAACAGACUUGCCUCUAGGUAAUAUGAUGGGGCAUUUUCUCAAUGCCCAGAUAACUCUGGCUUGUGUCAAGUUCUCUCUCUCUCUCUCUCUCUCUCUCUCUCUCUCUCUCUCUCUCUCUCUCACACACACACACACACACACACACACACACACACACACACAGACACCAGUGUAACCAGGACAGGGAAGGUAGCUGAGGAAGGGAGGUAGCUGAUGCCAUGUUGAAAAAGAGACAUUGCACAGAUGACAAUGGUACUCUGUCCCUCCAUUCAGUCAUGAUGCCUGGGGCAGCUGAUGAGGGAGGUAGAAAGAGUAAGCUUGACCUGAGAUCUUUGGUUUCCUAGAAGAAAAGGGUCUUUACCAUCACAUUUUGGGAGGAAUGGCUGAGGAGAUAGGGAGGGAGAAGGAGAGGUCCAAACACAGGACACUAAAGUGUCGCACGGUCACAGUCAUGUAUCUUAUGUCAAGUUCUCUGUCCCGUCUCCUGCCCCACACUCCUAAGCUUCUCAGACUGCCUGUUCCAAAUGCUUGGUUUAGGAAUGUGAGCAUCAACUGCUUGGCUGUCAUCCCCCAACCCAAAGCUGUUCAGGGUUGGUGUGAGACUUGAAUUCUGACCCCUUUGUCUGGCCCAGUUCUUUCUUCCUGCAGCCCGAUCGUCAGUGGAGGCUGGGAAAGCAGUGGGUGCAGGGACUACAAAAUGGCGGCUCCCUUCUGCCUCCUCCUGCUCCUUGAAUAUGGAAACCCCAGCAGGGGUGCCCUUCCUGUCUACACUACAGCAAGGUCAUGGUCCCUGUGGAAGCAAUCACAGUACUAGUGUAGUGAUACUGUUGUACCAUAUCUUCAGAAAUUCCUGUAUGUUCUGGCAAAGGAAUUCUAUGGACAAGGUACGAGAGGCCAGGGACCGGGUCUAGUUGGGUCCAGUGGUCUAGUUUCUAAGAGGACCAAGAGUUAUUCAGAAUUGCUAGGCCUGGGUAUCGCCUGGAUCUGCUCUGAGGGCUGGUGCCGUGGGCCCAUUUUCCAGGGAGGGGACCUGCUGGAGGGGAGGCAGCUCCGCUAAUUACUAAUAAAUGUCUUUUGUUCUUAA